AUUGGUGCUUGCACCAGAUGACGACCGGCGCACGGGUGCGUAACGCGUAUAGAACUUACCUUUUACAGGGGGAUAGCCUUUAGAAAUGAAGAUUAAUAUCCCAUAGUAUUGAGAACUGGCAUCGGUUUUUAAUUAAAGAUUUAUCGGUAAAAGAUGGCUAUGCGUCCUAUUAGCUAGAUGGUAAGGUAAUGGCUUACCAUGGCAACGAUAGGUAGGGGCCCUGAGAGGGGGAUCCCCCACACUGGUACUGAGACACGGACCAGACUCCUACGGGAGGCAGCAGUGAGGAAUAUUGGGCAAUGGAGGCAACUCUGACCCAGCCAUGCCGCGUGCAGGAAGACUGCCCUAUGGGUUGUAAACUGCUUUUAUACAGGAAGAAACACUCGUACGUGUACGAGCUUGACGGUACUGUAAGAAUAAGGACCGGCUAACUCCGUGCCAGCAGCCGCGGUAAUACGGAGGGUCCGAGCGUUAUCCGGAAUCAUUGGGUUUAAAGGGUCCGCAGGCGGUCAAUUAAGUCAGAGGUGAAAUCCCAUAGCUUAACUAUGGAACUGCCUUUGAUACUGGUUGACUUGAGUUAUAUGGAAGUAGAUAGAAUGUGUAGUGUAGCGGUGAAAUGCAUAGAUAUUACACAGAAUACCGAUUGCGAAGGCAGUCUACUACGUAUAUACUGACGCUCAUGGACGAAAGCGUGGGGAGCGAACAGGAUUAGAUACCCUGGUAGUCCACGCCGUAUACUAUGGACACUAGUUGUUGGGAUUUAUCUCACUGA
rnacentral:rRNA from 1 species